GGGGCGGCGCGAACGGUAAUGGCGGUCUUCUCCCGAUGGGAGAGGAAGCUCCGCUGAAAUCGGGUCGUCCGCUACGGCGAAGCGGAGACCCAACGAGGAAAACCCCAGGCAGCAAGAGCCUGGGGUCCUGAGGCUCGGCGGGCGCCAAGAGCAGCCCUCCAACUGCAGAAGGAGCCUCGUAAGGGGCUCCGGAGCGUGGAGGGGGGUUGCGGCGCUGUGAGCCGUUUCACAGUCAGCGGAGUGAAGCCGCGCUGCUGCUGCCGGUGAGCGCUGAUCCCUUUUCCUGUUAAAAUUCGGACCUGGAAGAAAACAACUUAUUCGUGAGUAAAGACUGAAUCACUUGGAAUUACAAAUUUUAAAUGAGAAGGUUUAAUUUGGCUUGAAUUUGGCUGAAAGCGGAGAGACGUGGAAACAGGAAGUCCGUCUUCCGCUGCCAUUGAACUUGAAAAAAAAAGCAACUAAGGCGGAGGAGUGGAGGCUGAAAGAAAGAGAUUUUAAACUCUACACAGCCAAGCAUCUAUGGAACUUACAAUUUAAAGUAAAACUAGCAAGUUAAAGAUUUGGACCUUUUAUUUACACUUGACUUUCCCCCUUUUAUUGGAUUACAAAUUGGAAGGUGAAACCCAGAGUCAGGAUUGCUUGAGCACUGUAAGAGUGAGCUGUCAGUGUUUGACUUGGAUACUGUAUAUUAGAAGUUGCAACACUCUGAGGGCAUUGAGACCUUUUAAAUUUGAAACAUUCUUUUUGGAGACAAAUAAGCACUGUCUGCAACAAAGUGAUUACUUUUAAACUCUGCUUAAUACUUAUAUUGGAAGGUUCUGGGACAUUAAAUCAGACUCUGAAAGACAUCUUAAGCUCCCUCUAGAGGAUUGGAUUAAAACAGUGACUUUACAAAUACAUUUACUUUCGAUUCCCUUGUUGUCUGCUUGCUCUGGGCCUCUCUAUUCCUGUGGGAAAAACUCAGUGUGACCUUGACUGAUAGAUAACAUUGGAAUGAGUGGUACAAGAAGAAGAGGAAGAGUUAGACAAACAACUCUAACAACUCUAACCUCAGCCUCGCAGACACGUAGAUCAUCUGUGCCUACUUUGCCCUCAGAAGUACAACUUGAAGAAGCUGCCUUGCCACAGGCAAAAGAGGGAGAGGGUGAAGCAGAGCAGUUACAAUUGGAAGAUAUGGCCUCAGGAGCAUCUGUUUCUGUGCUAGAAAAAUCUUUGAAAAAUUGGAAGCUUUGGACAAGAAAGUAGAUGCGCAAUCAGCAAAGAUUGAUAAAAAUACAGAUUGUCUAAACAAAUUAACCACACAGGUGGGACAGAAUACACAAGCAAUUGGACAGUUGACGGAGGCCUCAGUAGAAAACCGAAAAUUGGCUGAGGAUACCAGACAAAAAUUGGAAAAUUUAGAGCAAGAGGUAAGACCACUCACUAAACAAGUUGGGGAACAUCAGACUUAUCUUUCUAUGAUAGAACUGCGAAAUCGUGAGAAUAAUUUGAGGAUUAGAUCAUUACAAGAGGCAGAAGAAGGAAAUCUAACUGAGUUUUUGACCAAAGAAUUUUCCAAGUUCUGGAAUUUGGAAGAAAAGGACUUUAAAAUUGUGUCAGCUUUCAGACUUGGAAGAUUUAUAAAGAAGGAGAGGCCCAGGGAUUGUUUGAUUACAUUGAGAUCGAAGGAGGAAAGGGAUAAGAUUUUGGGUCUACAUUACGAAAAGUCACUGGAGGUUUUGGAUAGAAGAAUUGAGAUAUAUAAAGAUAUCCCAAGACAACUGUUGGACCUUAGAGCCGCCUAUUCUGAACUUGCUAAACUAUUAAGGAGCAACGCAAUUCCAUUCAGGUGGGAAUUUCCCCAAGGAUUAUCUUUUACCUUUAGAGCGAGAAAGGUUAAAAUUAGAACAUUGGAAGAGAGAGAUAAAUUUCUGGCUACAUACGGAGAGGACCUACAUAAAGGAAUUGAACUACCUUCCGGGCCUGAGGCAAAGCCAGCAUCAAUACCUCCACCUCGGGAACUUGAAGAUCCAGAGAAGACACCACCCCGGGAGAAAUAACCAGACAGAUCCAGGAUGUCUCUGCAACUGUUGAGCUGGAACAUUAAUGGUUGCAAUAUUCCGGAGAAAAGGAAGAAAAUAUUUCAUAUAUUAAAAAAAAGAACAAUUGGACAUUAUUUGUUUACAAGAAACACAUGUGACGAGGCUCCACAGAAAAGUGUUAAUAAAUAAAAGAUUGGGCCAGGAAUUUAUUUCGUCGGACAAAGUGAAGAAGAGAGGAGUGGUGAUAUAUGCAAAAGAGAGCCUGUCACCUAAAUUUCUAUUUAAAGAUGAACAUGGAAGGAUUUUGGCUAUUGAGAUACAAUAUCAAGGAGAGAAACUGCUGAUAUUAGGAAUCUAUGCGCCCAAUGAAGGGAAAUCGGAAUUUUACAAGAAGUUGCAGGGGACAAUGCUGGAUCAUCUGGAUUACAACAACAUCAUAAUGAUGGGAGACAUGAACGGAGUCGUGUCAACUAACAUGGACAAGUCGCAAAGUCAAAAUAUCACAAAAGAUGGCAGACUACCUAAAACCUUUUUUGAAAUGACUGACAAUAUGGACUUGAUCGACAUUUGGAGAACAAAGAACCCACUAGGUAGAGAAGGAACAUUCUUUUCUGAAGCCCAACUGACCUGGACAAGAAUCGACCAAAUAUGGAUCUCUAGAGGCCUGGCACCUAGGGUUAGAAAAGUGGAAAUCUGCCCAAAGACCUGCUCUGACCACAAUGCAGUAAAGAUGGAUAUGACACUACUACCAACUGGAUCCUUUAGAUGGAAGAUGAAUGACAAUUUGUUUAGAGAUCAGGAAAUUACCAAGAAGGCCCAAAAAGUUUUGAAAGACUAUUUCGAGAUAAACAUGAACAAUUCGGUGGAAAAAGAAUCGUCUGGGACGCAAGCAAAGCUGUCAUGAGGGGAUUCCUGAUACAACAGAAUGUAGUAAAGAAAAAAACACAAAAUGAGAAAAAAGACAAGAUUUUGGAUAAAAUAAAAGAAUUAGAGAAGAAAUUAAGAGUGAAUCCAAAGUCACAGCCAACUCUGAGAGAAAUUAAACUGUAUCAAACACAAUAUUCUAAAUUGAUAAAUCAGGAAAUUGAAUGGAAGAUUAAAUUAAUGAAACAAAAACGUUUGAGUCGGCGAAUAAAUGUGGAAAACUGCUAUCCUGGCAGUUGAAGAGAAGACAAAGAUUAAAUACGGUUACAAAUUUAGAGGUCGAUGGAAGAAACAUUCAGAAUCCAGUGGACAUUAGAAAGUGUUUCCAGAGAUAUUUUAAAAAUUAUAUACCCAAGGGCCGCAAGACGAAGUCGAGAUUAAACAAUUUUUGCCAAAAAUGGAUUAUCUAAACUGUCACAAGAAAAUAGGACAAUCCUGAACUCUAAAAUAACACGACAGGAGAUUGAACAAGCUAUUCAGAACAUGCAACUUGGCAAAUCUCCAGGGCCAGACGGGCUGACCUCCAAGUAUUACAAGACACUAAAAGACUAUUUGAUACAACCCUUGAUGGAGGUUAGUAAUGAAAUUAUGGAGGGGAAGAGGGCACCGGAUUCGUGGAAGGAAGCGUUUAUCACAUUGAUACCAAAGUCAGAAACUGAAAAGACACAACUGAAGAACUACCGUCCCAUCUCCCUUUUAAAUGUGGAUUACAAAAUAUUUGCAGAUAUUUUGGCAAGUAGAUUUAAAAAGUUUUAAAUGAAGUAAUUCAUAAGGACCAGGCCGGUUUUCUCCCAGGUAGACAUUUGUUUGCUAACACAAGGAACAUUAUUGAUAUCUUGGAACUUCUCCAAACUGACAUAAAUACAAAAGCAGUUUUAAUUUUUAUAGAUGCGGAGAAGGCCUUUGAUAACAUUUCUUGGAAAUUUAUGAUGGGAAACUUAAAAGAGAUGGGAGUGGGACGGGGUUUUGAGAAUGGGAUUGAGGCGAUAUAUUCAGAACAGAAAGCAAAACUGAUAGUUAAUAAUGUGGUUACAGAAGAGUUCAAAAUUGAAAAAGGGACACGACAAGGUUGCCCUAUUUCCCCUUUGUUAUUUAUUUCGGUCCUGGAAGUGCUAUUGAACAUGAUUAGAGGGGACCAGUUGGUGGAAGGAAUUCAGGUUGGUCAGAAACAAUAUAAACUAAAAGCUUUUGCAGAUGACCUGGUUUUGACCUUGCAGAAGCCAGAGCCUAGUACGAAAAGAGUAUUACAAUUGAUUAAUGACUUUGGUCGGGUGGCGGGAUUUAAAUUAAACAAACAGAAAACCAAGGUUUUGGGGAAAAAUUUGACUGAGACAGAGUCAGAACGGUUUCAGAAUGAGACGGAACUUAAUGUGGUUAAAAAGUAAAAUACCUAGGGGUAAACAUAACAGCAAAAAAUCUAAGUCUAUUUAAGGAUAAUUAUGAAAAAUGUUGGACAGAAAUUAAGAGAGACUUAGACAGUUGGUCAAAAUUGAAACUUUCUUUGUUAGGCCGAAUUGCUGCGAUUAAGAUGAAUGUAUUGCCAAGAAUGUUGUUUUUAUUUCAAACACUUCAGGUUUUGGACAAAAUGGAGUGCUUUCAGAAGUGGCAGAGAGACAUUUCGAAGUUUGUCUGGCAGGGCAAAAAGCCCAGAAUUAAGUUUAAGAUACUAACUGAUGCAAAACAAAGAGGGGCUUUGCCCUGCCGGACUUAAAGUUGUAUUACGAAGCCGCAGCGUUCUGCUGGCUAAAAGAUUGGCUACUUCUUGAAGACACUGAUGUGUUAGAUUUGGAGGGGUUUAACAAUGUUUUUGGAUGGCAUGCAUAUUUAUGGUAUGACAAAGUUAAAGCAAAUAAGGCCUUUAAGAACCAUAUUGUUAGAAAAUCACUGUUUAAUGUCUGGACAAAAUAUAAAGACUUGCUGGAAAAUAAAACACCAAGGUGGCUUUCACCUUUGGAAGCUAAGGCCCGAAAAAGACCCAAUAUGGAGGCCAAAUGGCCAAAAUAUUGGGAAAUACUAGAAAAGAUGGAGACAAUUGGAAAUUGCAGAGUUUGGAGAAAAUGAAAGACAAAGUGCGAGAUUGGUUACACUAUGCUCAGAUUAAAGAAGUUUUUAAAAAUGAUAAGAAACUAGGGUUCCAGGUGGAGAAAUCGAAAUUAGAAACAGAAUUGUUAGAACCAAAGACUAAGAUACUUUCAAGGAUGUAUAACUUGCUGUUGGAAUGGAAUACACAAGAUGAAAUGGUUAAAUCGGCUAUGAUAAGGUGGGCGCAGGACAUUGGGCAUAAUAUUAUGUUUGAGGACUGGGAAAGGCUGUGGAGUAAUGGAUUGAAAUUUACUGCAUGUAAUGCUUUGAAAGAAAAUGUAAUGAAAAUGAUUUAUAGAUGGUAUAUGACCCCAGUCAAACUUGCAAAAAUUUACCACCUGUCUGAUAACAAGUGCUGGAAAUGUAAAGAGUGUGAAGGAACGUUCUUUCACCUCUGGUGGACCUGCCCUAAAGUGAAGGCGUUCUGGGAAAUGAUUUAUAAUGAAUUGAAAAAGGUAUUUAAAUAUACUUUCACUAAGAAACCAGAGGCUUUCCUUUUGGGUAUUGUCGGCCAAGGGGUGGCAAAGAAGGACCAAACAUUUUUUAUGUAUGCAACAACAGCAGCAAGGAUACUACUCGCAAAACAUUGGAAAACUCAAGAUUUACCCACACUGGAAGAAUGGCAGAUGCAACUGAUAGACUAUAUGCAACUGGCUGAAAUGACUGGCAGAAUCCGUGACCUGGGAGAAGAGAGAAUCGAGGAGGAUUGGAAGAAAUUUAAGAACUAUCUACAAAAACAUUGUGAUUUGACUGAAUGCUGAAUAAGAUGCUUGACUAAAUAACUGACCACCACUUAACUUAGAAGUUUUUAAGAAAAUAAGAAAAACUGUGAAAGUUUAACUCUUUAUGAGAACUAUAAGAUUAUGAAAUAUCGAAGAGAUACAAGAAUUUAAAUAAGAUGAUAAAUUGCUGACAAAAUGUUAUAAUGAUGAAGGUGGGAGCGGGAGAUGUGAGGAAGUCCAAAGAAAAUGUGAAAUUAUGUCAAGACGAAUGUUAUUUUGUUUAUUACAUUUAUUCCUAUUGUAAAACCCAAUAAAUUGCUUU
rnacentral:lncRNA from 1 species